rnacentral:lncRNA from 1 species
UGAGGUCUCUGGCCACAAGAAUUUGACUCAAUCUCUGAACCAUUUUUAAUUUAUAUAUUUGAUUUAUUGAAUAAAGUUGCUAUUUAUAUAGUUUUCAAAGAGGACUUACCUAUUUAAUUUGAACAAAAAGUUUUCAUUCUUCUAGAACAAAAUGAGGUCCCAAAAAUUAUUUGUAACCACAAAAGUGCCAGAGGCAGGAUUUAAGUCAUUCAUUUUUCUUGGGAAUCGACUUUUAAUACCAAGUUUGGGUAAGCAAACACAUAAGCAUAAGAUUGGGUUUUUUGGGGGGUGGGAAAUCUUAUCUGCUUUAUUUUUAGAAUUCUUUCACAGAGCUUAUUAUUUCAAAAGGGGAAGCGGUACUGGAAUAUUAACUUUCACUGCCCUGGAAAAUUUUUUUCUUUUAAAUGUUAUUUUUUUAAACUUCAAAUGGCUGCAAAUUACUUUAUUCAUCCUCAGGCCUUUCAAAUAAAAAGUAGAUUCAUCAAGUCUAAUUUGUCAGCACGUUUAAACGCAGAUGAAGAUAUGCUCCUCUGUAAAGCCAAUUUUGUUGGAAUUCCAGAUCUAAUUGGUAUAAUGAACUUCUGGCGAGAAAAUCCUACCAUUUAUCAGCAACUUAAACAAUUUAACUUUAGCUCUAAAAGGUUUAAGUGACUCACCUAGGUCAUAUGGAAACAAAUUCUGAAUUUAACGACUAAAUGCCUUCUCUCUAUCCACUAAGACAGGAUGACUCAUGACAAAGCUAAAUUUAAAAGAAAUAUGCAAAUAAAAACCUGAAGAUUUUGUAUAACAAAGUAAUAUCCUAGAGAUUAUCCCAAUAAGUCUCCAUAUACUACGUGUACACACACACACACACACCCACCAAUGAUGCCCAGUUUUUUUCAGCUCUUACCCGAGUUAAUCCUGUAACCCAAAUCAUGGGGGUUAAUUAAAUAACUCAUUUGCCUCAACACAAUUUAUUACCUAUUCCUACAAGCCUCAGCUAACAGAACUUUGGCCCCUAAUAACCAGAACAAGCUAGGAUUUUUCUAUCAUUCAAAACUAUCAAGUUCAGGGUAGUUAAAAUCAUAGUGUAGGUGGAAAAGGACUUUGAAAAUGAAGACAUCUGCAUUGAUCUUACACAUUACCAUCUUUUGAAGUGAGCCACUGAGAUUUCAGCAAAAAUGCAACAUCAAAUUUCUGUUCCAUGUAAAAUGUUAUGUAAUUAGGGUAUUCUGGUUAUCUCAAGGAAUUUAAAUACAACUCACACAAACUAUGCCGAAUAAAAUUUAAUUUUUAACAAUCAAGGUAUUUUUAUGAUCUUACAGUGCCUUAGUCAUCAUUGAUAUUUAAGUUCUACCAGGUUAAGUUUUUGUUCUGAUUUUCCAGAAUAAGCCCGAUAUUACCUCAAAAGAAUUUGUGCUUUUCCAAAUUUUCAAGUUUUAUUUAACCUAGUUGGAUAGAUUUAGUCUGGACUUUUCACUCCCUCUCCUCCCAUCCUCAAUUCUCUUGGUGGUACUCAAUUAAGCAUUGGUUAAUUUCACUCAUGGCACUAUGGA